rnacentral:rRNA from 1 species
CAGCAGCCGCGGUAAUACGUAGGGUGCGAGCGUUAAUCGGAAUUACUGGGCGUAAAGCGUGCGCAGGCGGUUCUAUAAGACAGAUGCGAAAUCCCCGGGCUCAACCUGGGAACCGCAUUUGUGACUGUAGAGCUGGAGUGCGGCAGAGGGGGAUGGAAUUCCGCGUGUAGCAGUGAAAUGCGUAGAUAUGCGGAGGAACACCGAUGGCGAAGGCAAUCCCCUGGGCCUGCACUGACGCUCAUGCACGAAAGCGUGGGGAGCAAACAGGAUUAGAGACCCCUGUAGUCCCUGUCUCUUAUAC